rnacentral:rRNA from 1 species
AUGACUCUCGGCAACGGAUAUCUCGGCUCUCGCAUCGAUGAAGAACGUAGCGAAAUGCGAUACUUGGUGUGAAUUGCAGAAUCCCGUGAACCAUCGAGUCUUUGAACGCAAGUUGCGCCCGAAGCUGCCAAGCUGAGGGCACGUCUGCCUGGGCGUCACG